rnacentral:rRNA from 1 species
AAUCAACGCUGGCGGCGCGCUUAACACAUGCAAGUCGCACGAGAAAGUGGAGCAAUCCAUGAGUACAGUGGCGUACGGGUGAGUAACACGUGGGUAAUCUACCUCUUAGUGGGAAUAACUCUGGGAACCGGAGCUAAUACCGCAUAAGCCUGGAAAGGGAAAGCAGCAAUGCGCUGAGAGAGGAGCCCGCGGCCGAUUAGCUAGUUGGUAGGGUAAAGACCUACCAAGGCAAUGAUCGGUAGCCGGCCUGAGAGGGCACACGGCCACACUGGC